rnacentral:rRNA from 1 species
UGGGGAAUUGUUCGCAAUGGGCGCAAGCCUGACGACGCAAUGCCGCGUGCAGGAUGAAGGCCUUCGGGUUGUAAACUGCUUUUGUACGGAGCGAAAAGGUUGUCUCUAAUACAGAUGGCUCAUGACGGUACCGUAAGAAUAAGCACCGGCUAACUACGUGCCAGCAGCCGCGGUAAUACGUAGGGUGCAAGCGUUAAUCGGAUUUACUGGGCGUAAAGCGUGCGUAGGCGGUUCAGUAUGUCGGUCGUGAAAUCCCCGGGCUCAACCUGGGAACUGCGGCCGAAACUGCUGGGCUUGAGUGUGGUAGAGGGCGGUGGAAUUCCGGGUGUAGCGGUGAAAUGCGUAGAGAUCCGGAGGAACAUCAAUGGCGAAGGCAGCCGCCUGGGCCACAACUGACGCUGAGGUACGAAAGCGUGGGGAGCAAA